UACGUAGGGUGCAAGCGUUGUCCGGAAUUAUUGGGCGUAAAGAGCUCGUAGGCGGUCUGUCGCGUCUGCUGUGAAAACUCAGGGCUUAACCCUGAGCUUGCAGUGGGUACGGGCAGGCUAGAGUUCGGUAGGGGAGACUGGAAUUCCUGGUGUAGCGGUGAAAUGCGUAGAGAUCGGCAGGAACACCCAGGGGGAAACCAGCCGACUGGGCAUCUACUGACGCUGAGGUGCGAGAGCGUGGGGAGCGAACCGG
rnacentral:rRNA from 1 species